UCUCUCUCUCUCUCUCUCUCUCUCUCUCUCUCUCUCUCUGGCGAUUCAAGCAUAUGCCAACGAUUAGGGUUUUGGUAAGAACCGCCAGAAGACUCAUAAUCUUAAUCGGCUUGAAGCGCAGCGUAACGAGCUCAAUUCUCGAGUUGUAGUUCUCAAUGCUGGUGAUAACAACGAGCAUUUCCAGUAACUCAUCGUAAUUACCUUCCUGUUGCUGGAGGUGUUAGCAGCCUCACAUGCUAUUGUAGUGUAUCAGCCCCUGAACGCUAUUGUAGUGUAUCAGCCCCUGAACUUACUGUUUCAGAGAGUUCCUCCACCUCUAUAAAGUAAUUAUUUUGUAAUCUCAGAAGAGAAUUGUGUCGGGUGUCCAACCAACAGGAUCUAUACACCCUGGGAAUUAUCUUGGAGCGAUAAAAAAUUGGAUAUCACUGCAGUGAAAUUUUGAUGGGAGUCAAUCCACGGUGGCCGGAGAACUCACCCAGGGUACGUUCAUGGUGGAGGGCUAGGUUAGUCGGUAGUCAAAUGGCCAAAAGUACUCUAGACUUUGCAUACAGAACUGCUUCGAUUUCAAUUUUCAACUGGUAUCUGGCCAAAAGUUAAAAAAGCCAUAUAUGUGGUUGAGGACAAGAAAAUUUUAGAUUAAUUUAGUGUAACUGAUUGCUUUAUCAUGUUCUUUAUUUAAUUUGUUAAAUCUGUGCAACUCGUGUCUUUAUAGACAUCCAAAUGAAAGCUAUGAAGUCACUCUUCUAGCAGAAGAAGUUCCUUUUGAGCUCCCUGAGCCAGCUCUUGGAGUAAACUUUGCAAGAGAGGGCAUGACCACAAAGGCUGACUCUCACUGGUUGCAUUUCAAAGUGACUGUUGGAUGCUCUCCAUGACUUGAGCCCGACUAAACACUUAUGAAAGGUUCUAUUCUGAAGAUGACAUGUUCCCAUUCAAGCUGAAAAGAAAACAAUUUCCAAUUCGACUUAGCUUUUCCAUGACGAUUAAUAAAGCUCAAGGUCAAACAAUUCCGCAUGUUGGUAUUUAUCUACCGGAUUCUGUAUUUUCACACGGACAACUUUAUGUGGCGUUAUCAAGAGGGAUUUCAAGACAAAAUACGAAGAUGUUGGUACAUCUCGCCAAAGAUUUCAAACAACGUGGAGUUUACACAUCAAAUGUUGUCUACCAUGAAGUGUUGCGUGAUUAAUUAACCGCAUCCAUAUUAAAAGGAAGUAGAGGAGAAGAUACAAGAAAGUCUUGAGCGAACGGAUGUAUUGGUAAAACAGGAAGAGAUACAAGAGACUCCCCGUAUUUUGUUUUUAGUGUUUUGUCUAGCUACUUGCCUGUUUUGUACUCUUCUUGUUUUUAACUACAUCUACUUCCUUGUUU